GCGGUAAUUCCAGCUCCAAUAGCGUAUAUAAAAGUUGCUGCAGUUAAAAAGCCCGUAGUUGGAUUUGUUGAGCGGCCAUCCGGAGCGGCGCAAGCUCUCAUUAGCAGGUUCCGCUAGUCCCGGCUUCGCGGCCGCUCCUUUCUCGGGAAGCGAGUGGCUGGCAUUAGGUUGUCGGCCGCUUCGCGCCCGUCUUUUACUGUGAAAAAAUUAGAGCGUUCAAAGCAGGCUUUGGCCGUAGGAUACAUUAGCAUGGAAUAAUGAGAUAAGGCCGCGGUGGUAUUUUCUGUUGGUUUGCACACACGCCGCAAUAAUGAAAAGGAACGGUGGGGGGUAUUCGUAUUCAACUGUCAGAGGUGAAAUUCUUGGAUU
rnacentral:rRNA from 1 species